UGGGGAAUUUUGGGACAAUGGGGGAAACCCUGAUCCAGCCAUCCCGCGUGUGCGAUGAAGGCCUUCGGGUUGUAAAGCACUUUUGGCAGGAAAGAAACGUCGCGGGUUAAUACCCCGCGAAACUGACGGUACCUGCAGAAUAAGCACCGGCUAACUACGUGCCAGCAGCCGCGGUAAUACGUAGGGUGCAAGCGUUAAUCGGAAUUACUGGGCGUAAAGCGUGCGCAGGCGGUUCGGAAAGAAAAAUGUGAAAUCCCAGAGCUUAACUUUGGAACUGCAUUUUUAACUACCGGGCUAGAGUGUGUCAGAGGGAGGUGGAAUUCCGCGUGUAGCAGUGAAAUGCGUAGAUAUGCGGAGGAACACCGAUGGCGAAGGCAGCCUCCUGGGAUAACACUGACGCUCAUGCACGAAAGCGUGGGGAGCAAACAGGAUUAGAUACCCUGGUAGUCCACGCCCUAAACGAUGUCAACUAGCUGUUGGGGCCUUCGGGCCUUGGUAGCGCAGCUAACGCGUGAAGUUGACCGCCUGGGGAGUACGGUC
rnacentral:rRNA from 1 species